UACGAAGGGGCUAGCGUUGCUCGGAAUCACUGGGCGUAAAGGGUGCGUAGGCGGGUCUUUAAGUCAGGGGUGAAAUCCUGGAGCUCACCUCCAGAACUGCCUUUGAUACUGAAGAUCUUGAGUUCGGGAGAGGUGAGUGGAACUGCGAGUGUAGAGGUGAAAUUCGUAGAUAUUCGCAAGAACACCAGUGGCGAAGGCGGCUCACUGGCCCGAUACUGACGCUGAGGUGCGAAAGCGUGGGGAGCAAACAGG
rnacentral:rRNA from 1 species